GACAUGAAUGGGGUUUAUGAUGACAAUGGCGCUGCAGAGAGAUGAUGUGUGAUGUUGGCCUACAGGUGACAGCAGCCCUAGAGACCCUCAAACCAGAACUUUAUUCCUCUUCCUAUUGUGUGCAUGAUGGAGACCGAGGCUCUGCGUAUUCUGGAGAAGAUGGAACAGAGUAAAAGAACAUUUUAAAUCAUUCAAUGAUUGUAGCCAUUUUAUCAGUGCUCACUCACAAGACCCACCCUUUCCCAAAUAUACCAGAGCGUAAUAACUCCAAAUAGAUUUGAGAGAAUAAUGCACAGAGUCACACUUGACAUUACAAAGCUUAACCAUCAGUCUGUGUAUUACUGAUCUGUUCUGUGUUGUCUCUCCAUGCUGAAGCAUACAGGUCUGAAUUUGGGGCCAACCACCAAUUGAC
ensembl:lncRNA